UUUCAUAUAUCGAGCGGAAAAGAAUCGAAGAUGCAUUGUUUAUCCUAGUUAAGUCAAACGUACGUACAUGCGUACGUACUACUACUCUGUCCAUACAGCUAACAAAAAUCCGCGUCCUCGCUCGUAGAUAUGCACCACUUCCAUAAUGUAUACUGUCGUGUAGUAGCACCUCCCAGCACUAUAAAUUGACAAUGGUGAUCGUCGAAGUCUUGGCAUUCACAUCCUUCUAGUCUUUCUUGUGGGAUUUUUGAGUAGCAUAAGAGUUGGAGAAUCAUGAAAAUUUUCAGGAUUUUGAUUCUGCUGGGCCUCCUGUUUGGCUCUGUUGUUCUGGUCUCCUCCGCUGUUGAAGCUGAGACAACCAAAGAUGAGAAGAAAGCUUCAACAAAAGAUGAGAAGAAAGGUUAAUUUAUGGACUUCUGUAUGUUAGUUAAUAUUGGUUUACAUAUUCUGUAUGAAAAAUUUCAAGAUUGAGAUUUUGAAAGGCCUCCGGUAUGCUAGUUUAUACUUUACACAAUACACGUACCUAUGCACCCAUUACAUUUGCACGAUCGAUCCAAAGCACAUAUAUGCACCCAAUUAUUAUGGAACAAAGAAAAUGUGUACAAGAAUUUGAUAUGUCUUCAGUAAGUUCAUAAUAGUGUCGUAGUUCGAAAUUACACAUUCAUAGCUAGGGUUUUUUGUAUUCAUACUGCUCCGAUAUAUGUACUCGAUACUUGCUAAGGUCUACCAAGGGCUAAGAGAGAGAUAUAUAUGUUUGUAUAUGGUGCAGUGGAUGAGCCAAAGGAAGUUAACCAAGGUGGAGGUGGCAGAUAUUGUGGCCGGUGUUGCUAUCACUAUGGCCGUUACACUUGCGGCGGACAGUGUUGUUGGCCUGAAGAAUCAGAAGCGGUUGAGAAUGAGCCAAAGCAAGUUAACCAAGGUGGAGGUGGCAGAUAUUGUGGCCGGUGUUGCUAUCGCUAUGGCAGCUACACUUGCGGCGGACAGUGUUGUUGGCCUGCUGAGCAGUCCGAAGUAGUAGUUACCGAGGACAAUUUUGAAACAAAGCAGCCUGAUGGAUAUGGCGGCUGGGGAGGAGGGGGGACGGGUGUGCGGCGGCG
rnacentral:lncRNA from 1 species